AUAAUAAUAAUUAUUAUUAACCUAUAUUUUUAAUAACUUAUUAUAUUUUGUAUGAAAUUAUGGUUUUAAUUGAUUUUACUGUUUUAUUCUAAUAUAACUCGUUGUUGAUGCAUCUUAUAAUAUAAUUUAAUUAAUAUAAUCUUGUGUUUCUAGUUGUAAAUAGUUAUUUGCUUGUAGAUGUCUAAUAAAUUGUUGAAAGUUUGGACUCUAGACAGUUCGGUAAAAGCAGCUGUGGUAUGCAGUAAUUUGGCUGAAUUGAAAACCAAAGGUAAUAAUCAUUGAGUAUUGUUAUUCAUAACUUUAAGCGGUCAUCUCAAAUAGAAGGUGCAAACAAUUAGGUUUCUUCUACACGAAACAAUGGGCUAUUACUGCUGUUUAUGUAGAAAAAGUAUUGAUGCUUUUACAAUUAAGAACACAUUUUCACUUGAGACGUAGCUUAGCUAAAUAUGAUAAAGUAGAACUUCAUUGUGGACAAGAUGGCUGUAUGAGAUAUUUUGAAUGCUUAAGCUCAUUAUCGACUCAUUCACGUCGAAAGCAUAAGCUUACUUCGACAGAUGCAAGCUCCAUGGAACAAAAAACAGUUAAUAAUGAACCAGAAAAUCUGUGAUGAAAUUGAAAUGAGUGAGCAAGUAGAAGAGCCUGAAAAUGAUAAAGUUACCGACUUUAAGGAACAGCUAAGACAGCUACUGUUUAAAGUUUAUGCUAAGUAUUGGUGCUUAGAUAUUAUACAGGGGGGAUUUACUGAUUUAUUAGAGGGGCUGUGUCAAAUGUUUUCUGAUAAAUUAAAGAAUGUUGCAAACAAUUUAGAUGCAGUUCAUAUAUCCACAAUCAAAACUCAACUUGAAUCAGUAAUUCAAGAAAUCGACAAUGUUAAGCCAACUUUAAAAGAAGUAGGAAACUUUGAACAGCAAUUGAAACACUUUAAAAAUCAUAUGAAAUUUGUUAAGAUGGUUGGACGUCCAAUAUCUGUUCGUUAUGAAUCCCGUUUGGAUAAGGAAACUGGCAAAAUAUGUCAAUAUCCUAUUCCUAAUACAUACCAGUAUAUACCAAUUCAUCAGCCAAUUAGAUUUGUUUAUAGCUAUAUGUAUGAGAUUCUAAAAAAACAACAAAGGAACACAAAUAAUUUAUUAAGUGACUUUAGCGAUGCUUCUCGUUUCAAAGAAUGUCAACUGUUUAUAGAAAAUUCGGAUGCCUUACAGUUACAUUUAUAUUUCGACGAUUUUGAAACCGUUAAUCCGUUAGGCUUGAAAACAAAAAUUCACAAACUAGGUGCAGUCUAUAUGAUGAUACGGAACUUGCCAUCCUAUUUAAACUUCCGCCUCAUGCAUUUAUCUGGUAUGUCUUUUUUAUACAGAAGAUACAAAAAUUACGCGUGGAUAUGAACCAGUUCUUGAAGAAAUGAUUAAGGAUAUUAAAACAUUAGAAAUAAAGUAUAUUGAAAUUGUGCUCGGUAAAGCAUGUCAGACAGUUAAGGGCACUGUUGUUUUGUUUUCGGCUGACAAUUUAGGUGCUCAUGGAAUGUUAGGUUUCCAAGAGAGUUUUACUUUUGGUUGUAUAUGUCGAUUGUGUUACGCAACUGUUGAAAGCAUUCAAGAUCACCACCGAGCCAGAGAUUUUGCACCAAGAACUGCUGAACAGCAUGAAAAAGACGUGCAAGACUGCAACACAAGAAAUACUGGUGUAAAGCGACAAUCACCCUUUAAUGAUUUGCAUUAUUUUAAAGUUACUGACAACUAUUGUGUGGAUGCUAUGCACGAUAUAUUUGAAGGCGUUUUUUCUAAUGUGUUAAAAUUAGUUUUAUACCAGCUUAUUAUUGUCAAUAAAAUUUUUGCAUGUAUUCAGCUCAAUUCUCGACUGAAAGCAUUUCGUUAUGCCGAACAUGAGAAGAGAGAUAAGCCGUCUUGUAUAACUGUAGAAUAAUUGAAGUCAGGUGAUAAUCUUUUGGGUCAGCGUGCUGCUCAAUAUCUGUGUUUAAGUAGACUUAUUGGUUUAAUACUUGAAGAUCUUAUAGACUGUGAAAAUACUUAUUGGCGGUUGGUCACUCUUUUAAUGGAGAUUAUAGACUUUAUUUUGUGUCCAAAGAUAUUGCAUGGCAUGAUUUCGUAUUUAGAUUAACUUAUAUUUGAUCACCACACAAUGUACAGGGAGUUAUUUCCAACAAAACGAUUGACACCUAAAUUUCAUAAUUUAGUUCAUUAUCCUGCUUGUCUUCAAAAGUCUGGUCCGGGAUGUCGAUAUUGGUGUAUGUUUAUGUUUGUAGACAUACAAUGAUUAAUGGUACGGAUUAUUUCAGUGGAGAUGUUUUAGUUGUUGGUAGACAGAUGGAUGAGUGUCUCAAAUUUGUACUCAUUGAUGAGUUUAUUUUAACUGAUGGUGGCAUUUAUUUUGUUUGCCAAGAACUGCACACUUAUUACUAUGAUAGUCAUUAUCAUGCUUUUGCAGUUGAAGAUGAUGACUGCGGAAAAAGUGUAGUACUAGAGUAUGAUGAACUGUUAGACUAUUAUCCAUUAGCUUCGCAUACUGUUUCUGGCACGAGAUCGAAGUAUUCAUUCGUUGCUCUUCGUCAUGCAGUUGUAACUAGCAUCUCUAAAUAAGCAUUUCAUCUUCAAAUUUUAUUAUGCAUUGUUAUCGGUUUUAUAUGUUGUAUUCAUUUUUGUUUUUGUUAAUUCACUAAGAUCAGUUCAUAUUGUACGAGUUGUAUAACCUGUUGUGUAAAAUCAAACGACAAUUAUGAAUCCAAUUUCCGUAAUUUCAAUUUUGUUCAUUUCACUUUUUAUUAUUAGGCUAUGUAAAAUUUCUUUAUGUAGCUGCCCAAAAACUUGGUUUUGAUAUCGCUUCGUUCAAAAUGGAUGAUGGUACAGAUAUCGAUGAUGAUGAAAUUGUGCAAUAUUUAAAUCCCGGUGCAAUAGUCUAUGCUUUAAAUGCUGAUGAAGCUAUCAGAAGCUUGGCAACAACAUUAUCUAUAAUACCCGGCACACUAGACAACACAUUCGAACCAUUGCAGACUUCUACACCAGAAACCAGCAUGACUAGCAUAACUUCAGCUGCAGAUGGGCAUCAUAUAGAAGAUAUGGAAGAGGAACAGCCAAGCACGAGCAAGCAAGUACGUAAACAACCAAGGGACGUGCCUGUUACUGUGAUUUCAAGUAAUAACGACGUUUCAGUUAUUGUGGCAUUAAAGAAGCAUCCAAAAGAAAAGUGGAUAGUAUAAGAGGGUAACAAAGCCGUAAUGGCACGUGAAGCUCGUUUGGCAAUGGUCGAGACAGCAUGCAGUCAUCUCAUUGACUUAUUUGGAGAUUAUCCACCAACAGAAAAGAAAGUGCUGAUGGCAAAAAGCAUCAUAGAAGCUUUUCCUAACCAAAAAUCAAGUUUCGGCAAAGGAUAUGUAAGAAUGCAUUUAUUUGAAUACUGAUUAUGUAUUUAUUAGAAUACUAAUAAUUAGCUUAUAGAAUAUGUAUGUGCAUGCAUUUUAUUGUUAUGUAUUUAACCGAGUAUAUUUGAAUAUGCCAUAUUUGCUCUAAAUAACAAUUUAGUAUGAUAACCAAUUUUGUCAUCAGAAUCUGAAAAGUAAGUCAAAAUUGUUGUUUUUGUACAUUCAAUACAAAUUUAAGCAGUGAACUGUUGUUUUUUUUUAUCAAGGAACAUUAUUACUCAUCAGAUGGGACAGGUUUUAUACAAAACCGGUUUAGGCAGAUUCAACGCCAACUGCCUGAGCAGCAACGAAAAUAUCGUUAAAGAUACAAACUAUGUAUGUCAUUGUUUUCUUAUAAUUAAGUGUACGAUUGCGUUAGUGAACAAAUUAGGCUUGAGUUAUAGAUACAUGUGCAGCUGUUAAUCUAUUAAGUAAAUCUAUAGCUAAAUAUGCAGCUGUUGAUCUAUUUUAUCAGCCUGUUUUAUUCCAUUUAUUUUUAUGUACAGCAGUCAAUGAUAGUGUAGUUCAAGCAGGUGACCAAUUUAUAGAGGUGUUUGGCGAGGAUGCCGAAUUAAAAACGGUCAUGCUUCAGAAUUUGGUACCAUUAUCGGCUAACGUAGACAAAAUCUAUACGUUAAUGGCUGAAACGUGCAGUUAUCGUUAAAAGGGGGCGGAGGUUCUGCUGGACCUACAAUGACACAGAUCCUUCAGAAGUACCCUCGUUUUAUAGAUGUGUCUGGCUUAGUAAGUUUCUGUUUUCAAAAACAUUGAAAAGCAAAAGUUACCUCAUACAUAGCUUAAUUUUCGAGAUAUACACCCAAUAAAAUAAUAAAUAAACUUAAUUAUAUCCAAAAUUCUUUUCGUUUCUUUCAAAGAAUUACAUUACAUUUAUUUCAAGUAUUUUAUUAUAGCUAUGCAAAAUCCUACAUACAACUUUUAUUAUUGUUGCUUAAUAAAAACACUAAAAGAAUGCUUAGUGUUGAUAUAUAUUAAUGUUCAUUUUACUAUAUUUCUGCAUACAUAUAAGCAAAACAUUAAUAAAACUCAUUAACUGUUGGUUUCUGUAAAAUAAUCGAUCAUAUGAUUUUAAGGUACAACAAGAUUUCAAAAGUAUGGCUGCUAGUCCAAGAGAAGAUCCAGCAGCAUACUUUGAAAGCAACCUCGCUCUCAAACUGCUUCGUUUUUUGAAAGCAACCUCGCUCUCAAACUGCUUUGUUUUUUGAAAGCAACCUCGCUCUCAAAGUGCUUCGUUAUUGUGUUGGCCAAGGCAAAUCCUUGACCUAACGCAGAACUUUGAAAAUUUCACAGCAGAUGCAACGAGUCACAAUGCGAUGCUAUGUUUGCUGGACAUGCUACCUACCAUGGGAAAGCAUCAGACAUCAGUUAAAAAUGCCCGCCAAUCGAUUUCAUCGACGAGAUAAAAGUCGAUGUUAAUGAUCAUUGUAUAUUAUCGUUUGCAUGUAAUAAUAAUAAUAAUAAUAA